UCCAUAUCGAUUGUUUUUAUACUAUCGAUAGAGAUGAUAUCGUGCGUUGCACAUCAAUUACUUUGGCGCAACUUCGCAAGUCGGCGGCUCUUUUUGGUAAAUUUUCGUUGGUGUUGGUGGCUGGACAGAUUAUCACGGAACGACGAGCUGCCUUAAAAGCUAAGCAUGUGGGCAUGCUUGUCUUUCUUAAUCAUAACUCUUGGAUCUUGGCAGAAGAAUAAAUGUUUAUUAAAAAUUUUAUUUUUAUUUUUAAA